rnacentral:rRNA from 1 species
GACGAACGCUGGCGGCGUGCUUAACACAUGCAAGUCGAACGAGAAUCUGUGGAAAGAGGAUUCGUCCAAUUGAAGCAGAGGACAGUGGCGGACGGGUGAGUAACGCGUGAGGAACCUGCCUUUCAGAGGGGGACAACAGUUGGAAACGACUGCUAAUACCGCAUAACAUAUAGAUGUCGCAUGGCAUUUAUAUCAAAGAUUUAUCGCUGAAAGAUGGCCUCGCGUCUGAUUAGCUAGUUGGUGAGGUAACGGCCCACCAAGGCGACGAUCAGUAGCCGGACUGAGAGGUUGAACGGCCACAUUGGGACUGAGAUACGGCCCAGACUCCUACGGGAGGCAGCAGUAGGGAAUCUUCGGCAAUGGGGGCAACCCUGACCGAGCAACGCCGCGUGAGUGAAGAAGGUUUCGGAUCGUAAAGCUCUGUUGUAAGUCAAGAACGGUGUGAGAGUGGAAGACGGUAUCCAAGGA